UCCUCCCUCAAACCCCGGGUUUGGUGUUGGACCGCUGUCGGGGGGUCAUCCCCCAACUGGUCCCAAAGACAAUGACGGCGUCCGUGGGACCCCUCUGCGCAACGAGCUUUCACGAGCACGCGCAAAAAGGACCCCACGGGCCGGUCUCCCCCUUUAUCUAUUUCUAAA
rnacentral:misc_RNA from 1 species